AUUGAACGCUGGCGGCAGGCCUAACACAUGCAAGUCGAGCGAGCGGCGGACGGGUGAGUAAUGUAUGGGGACUGCCCGAUAGAGGGGGAUAACUACUGGAAACGGUAGCUAAUACCGCAUACUCCCGGAUAACCCAUAUGGGAUUAGCUCGUAGGUGAGGUAAUGGCUCACCUAGGCGACGAUCCCUAGCUGGUCUGUGAGGAUGAUCAGCCACACUGGAACUGAGACACGGCCCAGACUCCUACGGAGGCAGCAGUGGGGAAUAUUCGGCAAUGGGCGAAAGUCUGACGCAGCAACGCCGCGUGAGUGAAGAAGGUUUUCGGGUCGUAAAGCUCUGUUAUUAGGGAAGCGGUAUCUAACCAAGAAGCCACGGCUAACUCCGUGCCAGCAGCCGCGGUAAUAC
rnacentral:rRNA from 1 species